rnacentral:rRNA from 1 species
GUGGGGAAUAUUGGACAAUGGGGGGAACCCUGACCCAGCCAUGCCGCGUGUGUGAAGAAGGCCUUUUGGUUGUAAAGCACUUUAAGCGAGGAGGAGGCUACUUAGAUUAAUACUCUAGGAUAGUGGACGUUACUCGCAGAAUAAGCACCGGCUAACUCUGUGCCAGCAGCCGCGGUAAUACAGAGGGUGCAAGCGUUAAUCGGAUUUACUGGGCGUAAAGCGCGCGUAGGUGGCCAAUUAAGUCAAAUGUGAAAUCCCCGAGCUUAACUUGGGAAUUGCAUUCGAUACUGGUUGGCUAGAGUAUGGGAGAGGAUGGUAGAAUGCCAGGUGUAGCGGUGAAAUGCGUAGAGAUCUGGAGGAAUACCGAUGGCGAAGGCAGCCAUCUGGCCUAAUACUGACACUGAGGUGCGAAAGCAUGGGGAGCAAACAGGAUUAGAAACCCUUGUAGUCC